GCUAGACAUGGUGACUCAUGACUGUAAUCCCAGCAACUGGGAGGCUGAAGCAGGAGGAUUGCAAGUUAAAGGCCAGCUUCAGCAACUUGGUGAGGCCCUAAGCAACUUAGUGAGACUUUGUCUCAA
rnacentral:sRNA from 1 species